rnacentral:rRNA from 1 species
UACGAAGGGGGCUAGCGUUGCUCGGAAUCACUGGGCGUAAAGGGUGCGUAGGCGGGUCUUUUAAGUCAGGGGUGAAAUCCUGGAGCUCAACUCCAGAACUGCCUUUGAUACUGAAGAUCUUGAGUUCGGGAGAGGUGAGUGGAACUGCGAGUGUAGAGGUGAAAUUCGUAGAUAUUCGCAAGAACACCAGUGGCGAAGGCGGCUCGCUGGGACGUUACUGACGCUGAGACGCGAAAGCGUGGGGAGCAAACAGG